rnacentral:rRNA from 1 species
CCUACGGGAGGCAGCAGUAGGAAAUCUUCCACAAUGGGCGAAAGCCUGAUGGAGCAACGCCGCGUGGGUGAAGAAGGUCUUCGUAUCGUAAAACCCUGUUGUUAGAGAAGAAAGUGCGUGAGAGUAACUGUUCACGUUUCGACGGUAUCUAACCAGAAAGCCACGGCUAACUACGUGCCAGCAGCCGCGGUAAUACGUAGGUGGCAAGCGUUAUCCGGAUUUAUUGGGCGUAAAGGGAACGCAGGCGGUCUUUUAAGUCUGAUGUGAAAGCCUUCGGCUUAACCGGAGUAGUGCAUUGGAAACUGGGAGACUUGAGUGCAGAAGAGGAGAGUGGAACUCCAUGUGUAGCGGUGAAAUGCGUAGAUAUAUGGAAGAACACCAGUGGCUAAAGCGGCUCUCUGGGCUGUAACUGACGCUGAGGUUCGAAAGCGUGGGUAGCAAACAGGAUUAGAUACCCUUGUAGUC